GGCGAGGCUGAGAACUUAAGCGCCAGUAAACGGCGGUGGUAACUAUAACCAUCCUAAGGUAGCGAAAUUCCUUGUCGGGUAAGUUCCGACCUGCACGAAUGGCGUAACGACUUCUCGACUGUCUCAACCAUAGGCCCGGUGAAAUUGCACUACGAGUAAAGAUGCUCGUUUCGCGCAGCAGGACGGAAAGACCCCGGGACCUUUACUAUAGCUUGAUAUUGGUGUUCGGUUCGGCUUGUGUAGGAUAGGUGGGAGACUGUGAAGCUAUGGCGCCAGCCGUGGUGGAGUCGUCGUUGAAAUACCACUCUGGUCGUGCUGGAUGUCUAACCUGGGUCCGUGAUCCGGAUCAGGGACAGUGUCUGGUGGGUAGUUUAACUGGGGCGGUUGCCUCCUAAAGGGUAACGGAGGCGCCCAAAGGUUCCCUCAGCCUGGUUGGCAAUCAGGUGUUGAGUGUAAGUGCACAAGGGAGCUUGACUGUGAGACCGACGGGUCGAGCAGGGACGAAAGUCGGGACUAGUGAUCCGGCGGUGGCUUGUGGAAGCGCCGUCGCUCAACGGAUAAAAGGUACCCCGGGGAUAACAGGCUGAUCUUCCCCAAGAGUCCAUAUCGACGGGAUGGUUUGGCACCUCGAUGUCGGCUCGUCGCAUCCUGGGGCUGGAGUCGGUCCCAAGGGUUGGGCUGUUCGCCCAUUAAAGCGGUACGCGAGCUGGGUUUAGAACGUCGUGAGACAGUUCGGUCCCUAUCCGCUGUGCGCGUAGGAGUCUUGAGAAGGGCUGUCCCUAGUACGAGAGGACCGGGACGGACGAACCUCUGGUGUGCCAGUUGUUCUGCCAAGGGCAUGGCUGGUUGGCUACGUUCGGAAAGGAUAACCGCUGAAAGCAUCUAAGCGGGAAGCCUGCUUCGAGAUGAGGACUCCCACCCUUUUGAGGGGUUAAGGCUCCCAGUAGACGACUGGGUUGAUAGGCCAGAUAUGGAAGCGCCGUAAGGUGUGGAGUUGACUGGUACUAAUAGGCCGAGGGCUUGUCCUCAGUUG
rnacentral:rRNA from 1 species